UUGCAAAGAGUGGGGUUUUGAGGGAUGUGCUUGUUUAGAGUUGGGGUUUGAGAGAUGAACUCGUUCAGAGUGGGGGUUUGAGAGAUGAACUCGUUCAGAGUGGGGGUUUGAGAGAUGAACUUGUUCAGAGUGGGGGUUUGAGGGAUGUGCUUGUUCAGAGUGGGGGUUUGAGGGAUGUGCUUGUUUAGAGUUGGGGUUUGAGAGAUGAACUCGUUCAGAGUUGGGGUUUGAGAGAUGAACUCGUUCAGAGUUGGGGUUAGAGAUAUUAAUAACCUUGUUUUUUUUCAGUGAUGUGUUUCUGACGGAUGGGAGUCGGGUCAGUGCUGCGACAGUGGCGAGUACAGCGAUCGCGGCGGCUCAGUGGGCGGUCUCUCAGACCGUCCAGCAGCUCUCGGCCGGAGGAGACGGCAGUGUGUGCCAGCAGGGGGCAGCAGUAUUAGUGCAGGAGAGUCCAGCGGGAGGCAGCACUGAGGGGUUUAAGGGGUCCGGAGCUCCGGGGGCAGACUUGAUGUCAUCUGCCCCGGGGAUAAUGGGGGAGUAUGACGGAAGGGGAGGGGCAACAGCUUUAACUGAAAGUGGAGGAGUCCGUCCUUCAUCUGCCCUUCCCCUGACGCUAACACCGGCAGCAUACACACAACCCUGCCAGGCUACACUGCCCCAGCAGGUUGAGACAGCAGGAAAGCCUCAGCCGGCGACUCCAGGAACAGCGUUUGAGCGACAGCAGUACCGUGACUGUUUAAGUAAUUAGUGUUGCUCGUUCCUGUAGCUGAUCCUGAUGUAUCCACCUAUCAGUAUGAUGAAAGCUCGGGAUAUUACUAUGACCCUUUCACUGGCCUCUACUACGAUCCAAACUCUCAGGUAACAGUAUUACACUUGUAACACCAUUACACCCAUUGCAGCACCCCAUCAUGGCAGGGCCCCCCCAUCACAGGGUCUCCCAUAACCCUAUCGCAGAUUCCCCCGAUUCCCCCAUCGCAAAGUUCCCUAUUCCCCAUCACUGAUUCCCCCAUUA
rnacentral:lncRNA from 1 species